rnacentral:rRNA from 1 species
GAUGAGCGCUAGCGGUGUGCCUAAUGCAUGCAAGUCGAACGGGAUCCUUGGAUUCGUCUGAGGUGAGAGUGGCGGACGGGUGAGUAACACGUAGGUGACCUGCCCCGGAGAGGGGACGAACCACUGGAAACGGUGGCUAAUACCCCACGAUGUUAUUGCGCUUAGAAAGCAAUUACUAAAGCUCCGGCGCUCCGGGAGGGGCCUGCGGCCCAUCAGCUUGUUGGUAGGGUAAUGGCCUACCAAGGCAAAGACGGGUAGGGGCGUGAGAGCGUGACCCCCCACACUGGUACUGAGACACGGACCAGAUACCUGCGGGUAGCAGCAGCAAGGAAUAUUGCCCAAUGGACGAAAGUCUGAGGCAGCAACACCGCGUGGAGGAUGAAGGCC